CUGACUUUAAAAUAUAAUAUCACAACUACAUAACUCUAAUUAAAACCUUUAUUUUGAACAUUAAAACAUAUGAUAAUCCCCCCUCCUAGACAACCGAUUCUCUCUGAACAAAAAUGAACUCACCCUUUCUCUCUUCUCCGAUUUCCUUUCUCUCUCUCCAAUAUUUUCAAACAAAAUAAAACCUCAGAUCUCUCUCUAAUGUCUUCGAUCAAAAUGGCUGGAGAAGGAUGGCGGUCGGAGGAGGCGCCACCACUUUCUCUGGCGCUCGAAUGCCUCUGACCUCCUUACACCCAACACAAACCCAAUCACCUUUUUAAAUAUGGAUCCACAUCUAUCUCUUUCUACAUUGUUACCCGUUUAUUCAGAUCCGAAUCUCAAACUUAACUCUUUCAAACCUAGAAAUACAGUUUACCCUUAGAAAAACAACAAAAUGGUAUUUGGAAUUUGAUGCAGAAAACAGGGAGCAUCACACAACAGAUUUCCAUGGAAGAAAAAAAGUCAAAGUUCCUUUUGCACAUAUUCAUAAAACAAGAGUCCGCCAGAAAGAAGAAAAUACAACAAGAAUAUAGUCAGACGGUCCAAUUCUAACAUUUUGAAAUACAAGGAUGAGAAAAUGUAGAUCGAAAUUUACAGACAUGGUCUGUUUUCAGGUGUUGCAUUUUGAUCGUGAUUGGCCUUGGGGAGCCUGAUCUUUCAUGACAUAAAAAUUUAAAAUGGUGUUGUCUUAGGACUUUUUUUUGGUGACUUCUGUUGACUGGUUUUUUGAGUUCUGCAGGUUGCAUUAUGUUUAUCAGAAUAUAGUCUUGUAAUUUCUUGGGGUGUAGGCGGUGAUAGUGAUCAAGUGAUAUACAUAUUCAACUUUGAAGAUUUUUCUUGUAAUAAAAUUAUGUUUUUGGAUCAUAAGCUAGAAUUUGUAUAGAUCAUAGGACUUAUUAACACAGUUUGUAUGUUUGUGCCUUUAAUAAUGAAGUUUUAACUCAGGCCUUAUGGUUCCUCCAUAAAAUAAAAAAAUGGUGAUUCAACCCUUUAAUCCAAA